GAAUCUCUCGACGGGUCUCCAAUAUUUUGUUCUAUAACAAAACAUCCACAUGUUCAUUUAAGUGUCACCACACUUUAACUUGUGAGAUCAGUUACUUACUUCACAAGUGAGAAAUGCCACAUGUGAUGGUCUAUCCGUAAUAACGAUAUCCGUAUCUCGUUAUUACUUACGACCACGGAAGAUUUAAGAUUCAAUCAGAUGUAAUUUGUAUCUCACAAUCACAACUCCUUGUGAUUAACAAAUUACAAUUAUUUGAAUCUACGGACUCUAUUAUUUAUUUAAUUGUCUAUUAAUUAAAUAAUAGAUCUGCCAUUUAAUUGCAUUAAUUAUAUAUAAAAGUAUUUAUGUCCAAAGUUGAUUGGACCUAGGGCAUAAUACUUACA
rnacentral:lncRNA from 1 species